rnacentral:rRNA from 1 species
GGGCUACACAUGCAAGUCGAGCGGAAACGGCAGUAUUGAAGCUUCGGUGGAUUUACUGGACGUCGAGCGGCGGACGGGUGAGUAACGGCUGGGAACCUGCCCUGACGAGGGGGAUAACCGUUGGAAACGACGGCUAAUACCGCAUAAUGUCUACGGACCAAAGGUGGCCUCUACAUGUAAGCUAUCGCGUUGGGAUGGGCCCAGUUAGGAUUAGCUAGUUGGUAAGGUAAUGGCUUACCAAGGCGACGAUCCUUAGCUGGUUUGAGAGGAUGAUCAGCCACACUGGGACUGAGACACGGCCCAGACUCCUACGGGAGGCAGCAGUGGGGAAUAUUGCACAAUGGGGGAGACCCUGAUGCAGCCAUGCCGCGUGUGUGAAGAAGGCCUUCGGGUUGUAAAGCACUUUCAGCAGUGAGGAAGGUGGUGUACUUAAUAAGUGCAUGGCUUGACGUUAGCUGCAGAAGAAGCACCGGCUAACUCCGUGCCAGCAGCCGCGGUAAUACGGAGGGUGCGAGCGUUAAUCGGAAUUACUGGGCGUAAAGCGCAUGCAGGCGGUUUGUUAAGUCAGAUGUGAAAGCCCGGGGCUCAACCUCGGAACCGCAUUUGAAACUGGCAGGCUAGAGUCUUGUAGAGGGGGGUAGAAUUUCAGGUGUAGCGGUGAAAUGCGUAGAGAUCUGAAGGAAUACCAGUGGCGAAGGCGGCCCCCUGGACAAAGACUGACGCUCAGAUGCGAAAGCGUGGGUAGCAAACAGGAUUAGAUACCCUGGUAGUCCACGCCGUAAACGCUGUCUACUUGGAGG